rnacentral:lncRNA from 1 species
ACCAUUUCAAAUCAUUAGAUUUUUUUUUAAACAAUGUUAAACCUCAAGAAGUUGUUUAGAAAAAAAAAAAAAAAGAAGUUGUUUAGAUCCUGAUUCAUUUUUUCCUCAAGAGACUACUUCAUUAGUAUGCAAAUUUCCCCUCACCUUACCCCAGAGGCAAGCUCUGUGUACAAAGACUUGAGGAAAAACAUCAGGCUAUGAGACUUUUGCCCCAAGAGAACAGGUGCCUGAAAAUCUUACACAACUAAGAGCAAAACAGAGAUCUUCAAGAGAACCAGAAUGGGGAGACCAGUACCUAAAUCAAGAAGUACUGCCAGCUUAUCACUCAUGUUCUAAAUUCAGCUUCACCAGGAACUCUGUUACACAUGCAUGCAUCAAAAAUGAAAGCAGGGCAGAAGGGGGUGUGAGAUUUAAGGGGAAAAGAAGUGUGAAGGUAGGAGGUAAUUGUCUAAAACUUGAAAACUUCUCUUGGUGCUUUCAGUGUGACUUCAUGGUAUGUGGGUGGAUUAGCCAGGUGUUAAAGACUAUAGACAGAAGAGACA